rnacentral:rRNA from 1 species
AUACGGGGGGUGCAAGCGUUAAUCGGAAUUAUUGGGCGUAAAGGGAGCGCAGGCUGUUUUGCAGGUCAGAUGUGAAAGCCCGGGGCUUAACCCCGGAAGUGCAUUUGAAACCGCAAGACUUGAGUAUGGGAGAGGGUAGUGGAAUUCCUGGUGUAGAGGUGAAAUUCGUAGAUAUCAGGAGGAACACCGGUGGCGAAGGCGACUCUCUGGACCGAUACUGACGCUGAGACGCGAAAGCGUGGGGAGCGAACAGGAUUAGAAACCCCAGUAGUCC